CCCAGCGGUAGUCAGCUGUCCAGUGCUUGCCCAUGCCUGCGAUUGUGUUACACUACUGGGAGAUAAAAGCGCUGCCGCUGCAUGCAUGGUGCCACAGUUGCCGUUCUGGUGGCUUGUGGCACCUGUAUCAGGUAGAGCUGUGCUUCCUCGAGAGUGCGCUGAACAUGCGUUUUGGCUGUUUAGUGCUAGUCUGGAAGCUCACAAG